rnacentral:rRNA from 1 species
UAGGGAAUCUUCCGCAAUGGACGCAAGUCUGACGGAGCAACGCCGCGUGAGUGAAGAAGGAUUUCGGUUCGUAAAACUCUGUUGUUAGAGAAGAACAGCGCAUAGAGUAACUGUUAUGCGUGUGACGGUAUCUAACCAGAAAGCCACGGCUAACUACGUGCCAGCAGCCGCGGUAAUACGUAGGUGGCAAGCGUUGUCCGGAUUUAUUGGGCGUAAAGCGAGCGCAGGCGGUCAAUUAAGUCUGAUGUGAAAGCCCCCGGCUCAACCGGGGAGGGUCAUUGGAAACUGGUUGACUUGGAUGCAGAAGAGGAGAGUGGAAUUCCAUGUGUAACGGUGAAAUGCGUAGAUAUAUGGAGGAACACCAGUGGCGAAGGCGACUCUCUGGUCUGUAACUGACGCUGAGGCUCGAAAGCGUGGGUAGCAAACAGG